rnacentral:lncRNA from 9 species
UUUCUAAAGCCACACCUGCAGCAUAUGGAGGUUCCCAUGCUAGGGGUCGAAUCAGAGCUGUAUCUGCAGGCCACAGCAACUUGGGAUCCAAGCUGCAUCUUCGAUCUACACCCCAGCUCACGGCAACACCGGAUCCUUAACCCCCGGAGCGAGGCCAGGGAUUGAACCUGCGUUCUCACGGUUCCUAGUUGGAUUCCUUUCCGCUGCACCACAACGGGGACCUCCUGGCCCUCCCUUCUGAUUUCUCGUUUCCUUCCGCACCCCGCCCCCUUCUGUGGACAUCUGCAGGGCACCCAACGUGCCAGGGCUCAGCCAGGCAGUAGGUGAUGCCACCAGUGCCUGACGCGCACAUCCCUGCCCAUUGUACAGACGAGAAGACUGAGCCUGACCAGGAUCACAAGGGGAAAGGGACAGAGGUGGGGUUUGCUCCCCUGCCACCCUCACCCUUGUAUCCCAUCCACGUCCCCUGUCCCUAGCGACUUCGGGGACCAUGGCUAUUCAGUCCCCUGCUACCUCCAGCCAGACGUGGUCUCCGGGGCCUUUGGAGCCUCCAUGGCUUGAUGUGUGGGGACAGCCUCCGACUGAUGGCGAACUGAGCUGACACGUAAUUUGUACCUCGUGUGCGACGAUGUGGCUGUUGCCAGAAGAGAACCGAAACCAGCUAUGAAUAAUUCCCGUGCUUUCAACACCCCACCAAUAAAAUGAGUGUUGGAAUAAAUACCACUCAACCCACCCAGGCGUGAAGGGGAGAAGAGAUACCUGAAGUCACCUGAGCCGGGCUGCCGUGGGCUGAGGCGACGGGGCCCUGCUGCUCGUGGACCAGACCCAGCUCGUGCCCAGGAGGUCGGCGGGGCCGCCGUGGGCCGCUCAUGGCCACUGUCCCGUGUGCUGACCUGGGGUGGCUGGUUUCCUGGGUCGGGAAACCAGCCAAGAGGCCUUGUGUGACUCUCUCCCCUCCCCCAGGCCCAACAUGCCACCCCUGAGCCAGGCAGACCCUGGGGGCCCUCUGGGCCUCGGCAUAGGCUGUUCUUUCAGCCUGGAAUGCCCGACUCUGCCUUGCGAACUCCUAUUCAUCCUUGAAAGCCCCACCCAAAAUAUUGUCAUUCCAUUCAUUUGCCGAGGUCUUCUGGGCUGGGCACAGCGGGGGGAAUGAUAACACAGCAAAGGGCUUCAGAAUGUCUGUGGCCCCCAAAUCCAUCACCCGCACAGGCGAUGGUAUCUGGGGUGAUUAAGUUAUGAUGGUGGCGCCCUCACCAAUGCGAUAAGUGACCAGGUGAGAGGGACCCCAGAGAAGACCUUGUCUCCUCCCGCGUGUGGACGCAGCGAGAAACAGCCGUCUGUGACUCAGGAAGCGGGUCCUCCAGACACCAAACCUGCCGGCACCUUGAACUUGAACUCGCAGCCUCCAGAACUGGGAGAAUUAAACAGGGUGUGUUGUCUGAGACGCCCCGUCUGCAGCUCCGUGGUUACAGCAGCCCGACUGGCCGGAGACAGGCUGAACUGGGUCUCCCCAGAAUUCCCAAGUUGGAGUCCUAGCCCCCCGGGCCUCAGACCAUAUUUGGAGAAGGGGCCUUUAAAGAGGUAAUGAAGCUAAAAUGAGGUCAUUCGGGUGGGCGCAGUCCAAUAGGUUGGCGUCCUUAUAAGAAGAAACCAGGGGGAGUUCUCUUGUGGCCCAGGGGGUUAAAGAUCUGGCAUUGGCAUUGUCACUGCAGCAGCUUGGGUUGCUGCUGUGGCGUGGGUUCGAUCCCUGACCUGGGAUCAACAAAAUAAAUGAGAGUUCCCAUUGUGGUGCAUCGGGAAUGAAUCCGACUAGGAACCAUGAGGCUGCAGGUUCGAUCCCUGGCCUCGCUCCGUGGGUUAAGGAUCCGGCGUGGCUGUGAGCUGUGGUGUGGGUGGAGGAUGCGGCUUGGAUCCUGAGUGGCUGUGGCUGUGGUGCAGGCCGGCACCUGUAGCUCCGAUUGGACCCCUAGCCUGGGAACCUCCAUAUGCUGUGGGUGUGGCCCUAAAAAGACACACACACACACGCAAAUAGAAAAAAGAAAAAAAGAAGAAACCAGGAUAUAAACGUGCACACUCAGAGGGACGGCCACGUGAAGCCGCAGGGAGAAGGUGGCCUCCACAAGCCAACGAGAGGGGCCUCAGAGGAAACCACCCCUGCCCGUCACGGGUGCUGGGUGGGCAACCGACCCUCCCACUCCUGCCAGCCUGCCCUGCCCUUGACCAGAGGAAACCCCCCAAGUCCCAGCAGCUACUGACCGAGGCCCUCCGAUCAGGGGAGGAGUGCCAAGGGGGACUGGCCGGCUCCCCGCACUGCCCCCCACCACAAACCUCAGUCUCCCCGUGUGCGUCAUGGCUCGGCGGCAGGACCCCCAUCUUUCUGUAGGGGUCCCAGCACUGGGAUAAGGCAGAGGGACCAGGGGCCAAGGUCAGUGUUGUGGCUUGAACUGUGUUCCCCACAAUGAUGUGUUAAUGUCUUAACCUCUGGAAGCUCCAUUAUGUAGGCUUAUUUAGAAAUCGGGGAGUUCCCGUCGUGGCGCAGUGGUUAACAAAUCCGACUACGAGCCAUGAGGUUGCGGGUUCGGUCCCUGCCCUUGCUCAGUGGGUUAACGAUCUGGCGUUGCCGUGAGCUGUGGUGUAGGUUGCAGACAUGGCUCGGAUCUGGCAUGGCUGGGGCUGUGGUGUAGGCCGGCAGCUACAACUCCGUUUUGACCCCUAUCCUGGGAACCUCCAUAUGCCUUGGGAGUGGCCCAAGAAAUGGCAAAAAGACAAAAAAAAAAACAAAAAACAAGAAAAAAACAAACAAAAAAAAAACCAGAAAAAGAGGAGAGAAGCUCCCUGCUGGGCUAGUGGUUAAAGAUCUGGCAUUGUCACUGCAGCAGCUUGGGUUGCUGCUAUGGCGUGGGUUCGAUCCCUGACCCGGAAUCAACAAAAUGAAUAAGAGUUCCCAUUGUGGUGCAUCGGGAAUGUUUCCGACUAGGAACCAUGAGGCUGCAGGUUUGAUCUCUGGCUUCGCUCAGUGGGUUAAGGAUCCGGCGUUGCUGUGAGCUGUGGUGUAGGUUGCAGAUGUGGCUUGGAUCCUGAGUUGCUGUGGUUCUGGCGUAGACCGGAGCUGCAGUUCCAAUUAGACCCUGCGCCUGGGAACCUCCAUUUGCCGAGCGUGCGGCCCUAAAAAGCAAAAAAAAAAGAAAUGGGUGAUUGCAGAUGUAACUAGUUAAGAUGGGGUCACACUGGAGUAGGAAGGGCUUUUAAUCCUAUAGGACUAGUGUCCUUUUAAGAAGAGGAGUUCCUGUCGUGGCUCAGUGGUUAACGAAUCCGACUAGGAACUAUGCGGUUGCGGGUUCGAUCCCUGGCCUUGCUCAGCGGGUUAAGGAUCCAGUGUUGCUGUGAGCGGUGGUGUUGCAGACACAGCUUGGAUCUGGCGUGGCUAGGGCUGUGGCAUAGGCCGGUGGCUAUAGCUCCGUUUUGACCCCUAGCCUGGGAACCUCCAUAUGGCAUGGGAGUGGCCCAAGAAAUGGCAAAAAGACAAAAAAAGAGGAGCUUCCUGCUGGGCUAGUGGUUAAGGAUCUGGCAUUGUCACUGCUGUGCUGCGGGUUUGAUCCCUGGCCCGGGAACUUCUGCACGCCUCGAGCGAGUGCGGCCAAAAAAAAGGAGAGACAGACGGACCCAGAGAGGAGGGCCUCCUGUGAUGAUGGAGGCAGAGAGGGGGUGAGGCAGCUUCGAGAUGAGCAGCACCGGAAGCUGGGAGAGGCCUGGGGCAGAGUCUCCAUCGCAGCCCCCGCGAGGGAACCGACUCUGCUGACAUCUUGAUGUUGAACUUGUGGCCAGAACUGUGCAAGGAUACAUUUCUGCUGUUGACGGCCACGCCGCGUGUGGCCACUGCCAUGGGGGCCCAGGAAAGCAGUGGAGUGGCUUUAGUCCUGUCCUGCUCACGAAGCGUCGGGGCAGCAGCCCGGGGGCAGGGCUGACCACAGCCCACGCGGCGCACUUGGGACAUCACGCUUUCCGGGCACCCGCUGGGUACCCAGGAGUAGAGGGGUGUGGCGGUGGCGGCCACCUAGGUGUGGGGCUCCCAGGCCCCCACGGCCACCUGAGCGCCUGCUAGUGCUCAGAAUGAUGAGCCUCUGGGGUACCCCGUGCACGGGUAACUGAGGCACACACACUCUCACCCAACCCCAGGAGAGGAGGUACAGUCAGCUCCACUUUACAAACAGGAAAACCGAGGCUCAGCGAGGGGAAACGGCUUGUAAACAUGACACACACCCAGGAAAGAGCAGAACCAGGACUCGAACCCAGGCCAACCCGCUCCAUUCAAUCAGCACCCCCUGGUGAGCACAGCCUGGCCAGGCCAGAAACAACCGAGUUUGAGCCCCAGCUUGGACAGGGUGACCCGGCGUCUCCUUUUCUGACCUUGCCUUGGAAGUCGCAGUGUCACUUCAUGCAUCUGGCUGGAGACACGAGGUUCCACCUUCCCUCAGGGGGCAUGUCAAGGUCGCGGUGUGGAAGGGACGCGUCGCGCAGCCAUUCCCAGAGAAGGCCGAGUGUCAUGCAUUCACGGCAGCCACUCUGGGAGCCAGGCCCCAUGCCCCGCAGCAGGGCAUUUUAUCAUCUGGAAUUGGAAUUGUGACCUGUGGUGCCGGUGCGGGCAGGGUGUUGAGAGACAGAAACAGAACAAGGGGGAGGGGGAGAGGAAGGCCGGGAGCGGUUGGAGAAGCCUCGAGGUUUGUGGCCAAUGCAAAGCCCAGUGGUGAAGUUCUGCCUCUCGGGCAAGGCUGUGUGGUAAAUGUCAUCCAUCCGUCAUUCUCAGGUCUGAUUAGACCUUGCCCUCCGAGAAGCGUGUGAUGGGUAGAGAGCGCAUGUGUCGUCUGUUUUCUGUCCCGCAUUACCAUUGCUCCUGAUAAAACCGAGAGAAGAAAAAGGGGCAUUGUCUCUUUCUUGCUGCACGUGUGAGGCUGGCCAUAUCCUACCACAUAGAGAAAACCGAUUUUUGUAGGAGAGAAUGGGGCCAAUGGAAAAGGAAUUAAAAGUGUGUGGGGGGGUACAAGAGCGAGGGGUGGUGUGUGCCCUUGAUCCAUCCAUACCUGAAGGCAUUACACUUCAGGGCUUCCUAGUUGUGGGACCCAGGAUUUUUUUUUUAUUUAAGACAGUGAAGGUACCAACCCCGUAAAACACCUCUUUUUGGCUUUAGGUUGAGGCUCUGCAUGGUCUGGCUGCUCCCACUUUCUCCUUGGCAGUGCUCACCCCACUUAAGAGCUCUGUUAACUAACUGUCCCGCUCCGGGACUGUAAGCGCCAUGAAGACAGGACUGGCGUAUUUUGUUUACCACUUUAUUGUCGGGGCCAAGCACAGAGCCUGACUGGCAAGUAUUUGUUCGGCAAACACAAGUGGAUAAAUGCAAAAGGAAGGAUAGAGGUUUUGGCACUGAAAAUCCUUUGUGCAGUGAUCUCUUUUGGCCUAUGAUGGCCUCAUGUAUCAAGCUGCUGAGAUGUUGGGCAUUUUCGUCACUGCAGCAUAACCUAGCCCAUUCUGAUUGAUAAACCAGCUUCCGGAGACGAGUGGUCCUGACCCCUGGGGCUCUGCUGGCUGGGCUGCCCUGAGUCACCCCGUCCAGAUACUCUCCCGCUUCUGCUCAUGUGUGCUUCCUGCUGGCACCUACACUGGGAUGGUGCAGGAGUUUGCUCAGGCUGCGAUAACAGCGGGUCAGACGGGGUGGCUCAAACAGACAAGUGUCAUCUCUCAGUUUGAAGGGUUGGAAGCCCCAGUGGAGAGGAGGCCAGAGUUGGUUCCUCCUGAGGGCCGUGCAGGAGGACGUGUUCCAGGCCGCUGCCUCUGUGGCCCACUUCUCGGAUGCCAGUCUGGUUGGAUGAGGGCCCCCCCCCCACUCCACCGGGACCUCAUGGGAACGAAUUACAGCUCCAAGACCGCACUUCCUCAUCAGGCUCCAUGUCGAGGUACUGGGGGGUCAGGACUUGAGCACAGUAAUUUUGGGGGGAAUUCAACACACAGUGGCCUCUCAGAGGAAGAGUCAAGUGAGCAGGGCUGGACAGGGGAGAGAGAAGCCACCAAUUUCCAGCAGAAGGAACGGUAUAAGCAGGCCUUUCUGGCAGGGGUGGCUCUAGAAGGUUCUUGAGACUCCCUGUGGCCCAAGAAAGUAUGUGAGUGCGUGGGGGGGCUGCUUCCUGCUUCUCU